AGGACGAACGCUGGCGGCGCGCCUAACGACAUGCAAGUCGAGCGAGAACCAGGGCUUGCCCUGGGGAAAGCGGCGAACGGGUGCGUAACACGUGAGCAACCUGCCCCAAAGACCGGGACAACCCGAGGAAACUCGGACUAAUACCGGAUGCCCUCACCGGGCCGCAUGGUCUGGUGAGGAAAUGGAUUCCGCUUUGGGAUGGGCUCGCGGUCUAUCAGCUUGUUGGUGGGGUAACGGCCUACCAAGGCGACGACGGAUAGCUGGUCUGAGAGGACGAUCAGCCACACUGGGACUGAGACACGGCCCAGACUCCUACGGGAGGCAGCAGUGGGGAAUCUUGCGCAAUGGGGGAAACCCUGACGCAGCGACGCCGCGUGCGGGAUGAAGGCCUUCGGGUUGUAAACCGCUUUCAGCAGGGACGAAAUUGACGGUACCUGCAGAAGAAGGCCCGGCCAACUACGUGCCAGCAGCCGC
rnacentral:rRNA from 1 species